CAGGGCGUGGGAAAGCCUGGCUAAUCCGCAAGCUCGGGGAGCUUGAGAGCGCCGGUUCAAAUCCGGCCGCCCUGA
rnacentral:tRNA from 1 species